AAUUCUCAACCCUGAUCAAUUUGUUUUGACCCAGGGCUUGGACUUGGAGCGUGCUGGCGCGAGUCGGCUCCUCUCAAAUGAAUUGGCGGAAUUCAAACCUUUGGCUUCUGGAUGGUCAGUGUGAUAAUCAUGUUGCGCUGUCUGUUCGAGGCGUAGGGUCCGCUUACAAUGGUCUUUGGACAAUUUUCAUGAA
rnacentral:misc_RNA from 2 species